rnacentral:rRNA from 1 species
UACGGAAGGCAGCAGUGGGGAAUAUUGCACAAUGGGCGCAAGCCUGAUGCAGCCAUGCCGCGUGUAUGAAGAAGGCCUUCGGGUUGUAAAGUACUUUCAGUCGUGAGGAAGGUGUUAAGGUUAAUAACCUUAGCAAUUGACGUUAGCGACAGAAGAAGCACCGGCUAACUCCGUGCCAGCAGCCGCGGUAAUACGGAGGGUGCGAGCGUUAAUCGGAAUUACUGGGCGUAAAGGGCACGCAGGCGGUUAAUUAAGUUGGAUGUGAAAUCCCCGGGCUUAACCUGGGAAUGGCAUUCAAGACUGGUUAGCUAGAGUCUUGUAGAGGGGGUAGAAUUCCAUGUGUAGCGGUGAAAUGCGUAGAGAUGUGGAGGAAUACCGGUGGCGAAGGCGGCCCCUGGGCAAAGGCUGACGCUCAUGUGCGAAAGCGUGGGGAGCAAAC